AUUGAACGCUGGCGGCAGGCCUAACACAUGCAAGUCGAACGGUAGCACAGAGAGCUUGCUCUCGGGUGACGAGUGGCGGACGGGUGAGUAACGUCUGGGAAACUGCCCGAUGGAGGGGGAUAACUACUGGAAACGGUAGCUAAUACCGCAUAACGUCGCAAGACCAAAGUGGGGGACCUUCGUGCCUCACACCAUCGGAUGUGCCCAGAUGGGAUUAGCUAGUAGGUGGGGUAAUGGCUCACCUAGGCGACGAUCCCUAGCUGGUCUGCGAGGAUGACCAGGCACACUGGAACUGAGACACGGUCCAGACGCCUACGGGAGGCAGCAGUGGGGAAGAUUGCACAAUGGGCGCAAGCCUGAUGCAGCCAUGCCGCGUGUAUGAAGAAGGCCUUCGGGUUGUAAAGUACUUUCAGCGGGGAGGAAGGCGGUGAAGUUAAUAGCUUCACCGAUUGACGUUACCCGCAGAAGAAGCACCGGCUAACUCCGUGCCAGCCGCCGCGGUAA
rnacentral:rRNA from 1 species